rnacentral:tRNA from 1 species
GGAGGGGUGGGUGAGCGGUUAAUACCAGCAGACUGUAAAUCUGCCGCCAGCAGGCUACGCAGGUUCGAAUCCUGCCCCCUCCA